UACGAAGGGGGCUAGCGUUGCUCGGAAUCACUGGGCGUAAAGCGCACGUAGGCGGGGCUUUAAGUCAGGGGUGAAAUCCUGGAGCUCAACUCCAGAACUGCCUUUGAUACUGAGGAUCUUGAGUUCGGGAGAGGUGAGUGGAACUGCGAGCGUAGAGGUGAAAUUCGUAGAUAUUCGCAAGAACACCAGUGGCGAAGGCGGCUCACUGGCCCGAUACUGACGCUGAGGAGCGAAAGCGUGGGGAGCAAACAGG
rnacentral:rRNA from 1 species